UACGUAGGGACCAAGCGUUGUUCGGAUUUACUGGGCGUAAAGGGCGCGUAGGCGGCGCGGUAAGUCGCUUGUGAAAUCUCUGAGCUUAACUCAGAACGGCCAAGUGAUACUGCAGUGCUAGAGUGUGGAAGGGGCAAUCGGAAUUCUUGGUGUAGCGGUGAAAUGCGUAGAUAUCAAGAGGAACACCUGCGGCGAAGGCGGGUUGCUGGGCCGACACUGACGCUGAUGCGCGAAAGCUAGGGGAGCGAACGGG
rnacentral:rRNA from 1 species